ensembl:lncRNA
GGGGCAUGUCGUGUUUUAUUUUAUUUUAUUUUACCUUUGUGGUAUAGAAGGCCACUAACGCAUGUACGUUUUAGUUCGGUUUAGUGCAUGACUUUGGAACAGCGUGGUUUCAGGCGGCUGAUGGUAAACCCACCCAUAUUGGGCUUUGGUUUUGGACACACUGGAGGAACAGGAGUCAGAUAUGUCAGCUCUUGCAUCAGAGGUGGUCUUGGAACGGGGCAUGUCGCGUUUUAUUUUAUUUUAUUUUACCUUUGUGGUAUAGAAGGCCACUAACGCAUUGUUCAACAGAUGGGUAGAAGCAGUCCCAUCAAAAGACCAAAGUGCGACUACAGUAAUCAAGUUUCUGACUGGAGAAGUCAAGACAAGGUUUGGAAGUCCGUCAGAAAUAAGGUCAGACAAAACGUUUAUUCAGAGAACACUCAAACAUGUGAUUCAACAUUUGCAUGUCAAAUAAAGACUAGAUUACGCCCCAAUCCUCAACCACAAGGUAUGGUGGAGAGAGGAAUGGGACGCUUAAGACAAAGAUUAACAAAAUUAAAUUAGAGUACUAAAUUAAAGGACUAAUGCACUACGACUGACACUAAUGAGUUAUCGCAUGAAAACUAACAGAACGACGCAUCUAACCCCGCAUGAAAUGCUUAAGGGUCGACCCAUGCCUUCACUUAACAUUCGAGGGUGCCAAAAGGGACUUCCAUUAGAGUAAUUAGAAAUAGGAUUAAGGAAAAUAUGUUUGAACAUCUAACUGUUGUACAUAAGUUUGUAAUUCCAGCAAGAGAAACACAAAGUUCCAGGGCCAGAGGAGGAGCCAGAUGCAGACACGCCCGGAGCCGACCAACUACCCAAGGAUGAUGCCAUCAGAUUUCGGCAGGGUUACAGUCCCUCAGAUUAGAGUUGGCAGAGAGCUCCGGCAUUAAUGACCCCUUCACAGGAUGGAUGGAGAGCCCAAUGAGCGAUGGGCGCUACAGGUGCAGCAGGUGCCAUCCAAGCUUACCUGGGGAUCGAGUAUACACCGGAGAGUUUGGACGAGGGACCACCAGAGGGGCCCGACCUGAUCUGGCUGGAGAACAUAGAAUAGACCCCCUGCACCAUUGUCCAAGAGCCCCCACGCCAUGCAGCGCACCAAUACAUGAAGAUCCCCUGAUAAUUUUUGUGGUGUUGACUUUCAAUGCAUGCUGAAAGUGUAGGACUUUGCGUCACAUAUAUUUAGAGUUAUUUGUUGUGAUUUUGAUUCUUAUUUUGUUUAUGGUUACACCUAUUUGUAUGCCCUCUUGGAUUUACUUAUUGAUUUACUAUUUGAUUUAUUAUUGCUUUACUAUUUCAUUAUUCAUUUACCAAUCAUUAAUUGUUGACAGUGGUCUGUAUUUCCUGUGCAAACUUUGACUGUGAG